rnacentral:rRNA from 1 species
UGCCAGCCGCCGCGGUAAUACGGAGGGUGCAAGCGUUGCUCGGAACCACUGGGCGUAAAGGGUGCGUAGGCGGCCUUUUAAGUCAGAUGUGAAAGCCCUCGGCUCAACCGGGGAACUGCAUUUGAAACUGAAAGGCUUGAGUACGGUAGAGGGAAACGGAAUUCCUGGUGUAGCGGUGAAAUGCGUUGAUAUCAGGAGGAACACCGGUGGCGAAGGCGGCUUCCUGGGCCGAUACUGACGCUGAAGCACGAAAGCGUUGGGUAGCAAACGGGAUUAGAUA